rnacentral:tRNA from 1 species
GACCAUAGCCCAUUGGUAGAACAUCUGCUUUGUAUGCAGAAGAUCCCAGAUUCAAUCCUUGGCAUCUCCA